UACAUAUGGGGCAAGCGUUGUUCGGAAUUACUGGGCAUAAAGGGUGCGUAGGUGGUCUGUUAAGUCAGGGGUGAAAUCCCGCGGCCCAACCGUGGAACUGCCUUUGAUACUGGCGGACUUGAGUGCGUGAGGGGUAGGGGGAACGAGCAGGUGUAGGCGGUGAAAUGCGUAGAUAAUUGCUCGGAAGGCCAGAGCCGAAGGGGCCCUACUGGUACGUAACUGACACUGAGGCACGAAAGCGUGGGGAGCAAACAGGG
rnacentral:rRNA from 1 species